GAAAAAAUAAAAAAUAAAAAAUAAAUUAAAGCGCGGUUCGUUGGUCUAGGGGUAUGACUCUCGCUUUGAGUGCGAGAGGUCCCUGGUUCAAAUCCCAGACGAGCCCUUUUUCCUUCUCUUUUUUCCCCUUUAGCAUUUUCAGCAAGGACAGGAGACUAGGAAGGCGAAGGGAGGCUGCUGUUGGCAGAGCCUCAGUGGGGACCUCCCGGGGUCCCGGGACGCAGACGGACGGGCCUGAAUCGCUCGCCUUGCAGUCGGUCCGUCACCCUGAAAUGGGAUCCAGCGCUGCCAACUGCGGGUUCGAGAGUAUGGCGGCUCCAGUCCCAGACCCCGAGGCCUUCCCACUGAGAGCCAGGAAAUUCGAGGCUUGGAUCCGGAGGGGAGGAGGAGAUCCUUUCAGUCCAGAUCUGCCGGAUUCUCGGGCUCCGGGUGAAAUUUGGACACAGAGAAGGACAGAGUGA
rnacentral:lncRNA from 10 species